UCAAAUUUGUUUCCACUUUAACUGUCUUUUAUCCUGACAGAAGCGUUUAACAUGGACAACACAGCAGAAAUUAUACAAGCCAUCUUUGUCGGCCUCAUAGUUGCUGACUUUCUUCUCAACACCAAUCGAGUUCUUAAAAGUAUCGAAAUACGCAGGGAAUGCUUGGUCAUCUGGAAAGACAAAGCGGGCAUCAAAGACCAUAAUUUAGCCAAAUUAGUGUUCAAGGGGAUUUACUCGACAAUGUUGGACGCUUAUAUUAUCAUUAAUGACGACAUAAAUGCCAUAGAAUACGCAGCAAAAUGUCUCCAGAUAUGCCGUGAAAGUGGAGAAAGACCCGACAAAUUCGAAUGUAUGAUCAGCUUUAAACUAGCGAAAAUGUAUCUCCGUCUAUGUAAAUACGUACAAGCAAGAGAAGUCUUUGAAAAAACGCUUCUAGCCAGUACAGAAAUCGGUGAGAGAAUAUGGGAAGCCUCCUGUUACGAAAACCUCGGAGUUGUGUAUCAAUUAGUUGGUGAAUAUGACAAGGCUAAGGGCCAUCUUGAGAAAUCACUUGCAAUCAACAAAGAAAUUGGUAACAGAAAUGGAGAAGCCGUCUGUUACGGAAACCUCGGAGCUGUGUAUCAAUUAGUUGGUGAAUACAACAAGGCUAAAGAAUAUCUCGAGAAAUCACUUGCGAUCAACAAAGAAAUUAGUGACAGAAAUGGAGAGGCCCGCUGUUACGGAAACCUUGGAGCUGUCUAUCAAUUAGUUGGUCAAUACAGCAAGGCUAAAGGACAUCUCGAGAAAUCACUUGCGAUGCAAAAAGAAAUUGGUGACAGAAAUGGAGAAGCCUCUUCCUAUGCACACCUUGGAGCGGUGUAUCAUUCAGUUGGCGAAUAUGACAAGGCUGGAGACCACGUCCAGAAAUCACUCGCAAUUAACAAAGAAAUUGGUAACAGAAAUGGAGAAGCCUCCUGUUACGGAAACCUUGGAGCUGUGUAUCACUCCGUUGGCGAAUACGAAAAGGCCAGAGAACAUAUUAAAAAAUCACUUGUAGUCCAAAAAGAAAUUGGUGACCGAAGAGAAACCGCUUCAUGUUAUGGAAAACUUGGAACUGUGUAUCAAUCAGUAGGCGAAUAUGACAAGGCUAGAGAACUUCUUGAGAAAUCACUUGCAAUCCGAAAAGAAAUUAGAGACAGAAAUGGAGAAGCUGCCUGCUACCAAAACCUUGGAAGCGUGUAUCGAUCACUCGCCAAAUAUGACAAGGCUAGAGAACACCUAGAGAAUUCACUGGCGAUCCAAAAGGAAAUUGGUGACAGAAGAGGAGAAGCCACUUGCUACGCAAUCCUUGGAGCUGUGUAUAAAUCAGUUGACGAAUAUGCCAAGGCUAGAGAAAACCUCGAGAAGUCACUUGCUAUUUACAAGAAAAUUGGUGACAGAGCUGGAGAAGCCUCCUGUUACGGAAACCUUGGAAUGGUGUAUGACUCAGUAAGCGAAUAUCAAAAGGCUAAAACACAUUUAGGGAAGUCAUUUGCAAUUUUCAAAGAAGUUGGUGACAGAGUAGGGGAAGCUUUCUGCAACGCAAACCUUGGUGUUUUUUAUCACUCAGUCCACGAAUAUAGCAAGGCUAGAGAACAUCUCGAGAAAUCGCUUGCUUUCAGCAAAGAAGUUGGUGGCAAACCUGAAGAAGCCUCCUGCUACGGAAACCUUGGAGCUGUGUAUCGAUCGGUCGGCGAAUACAGCAAGGCUAAAGAACAUCUUGAGAAAUCACUUGGAAUCGCAAAAAAAAUUGGUAGCAGAAGUGGAGAAGCCUUCUGUUAUGGAAACCUUGGAGCUUUCUAUCAAUCAGUUGGCGAUUACGACAAGGCUAGUGAACAUCUCAAGAAAUCGCUUGCAAUCCGGAAAGAGAUUGGUGACCGAAAUGGAGAAGCCUGUUGUUACGAAAGCCUUGGAGCUAUGUAUCAAACUGUUGGCGAAUAUGAAAAGGCUAGAGAGCAUAUUCAAAAAUCGCUUGUUAUCAAGAAAGAAAUUGGUAACAGAAACGGAGAAGCCAUCUGUUACAAAAACCUUGGAGCUGUGUAUGAAUCAGUUGGCGAGUAUAAGAAGGCGAAAGAACAUCUCGAGAAAUCACUCGCAAUGGUGAUAGAAAUUGGUGACAGAAAAGGAGAAACCUCCUGCUACCAAAAUCUUGCAGCUGUGUGUCAUUCAGUCGGCGAAUAUAGCAUGGCCAGAGAACAUCUGGAGAAAUCGCUUGCGAUCAGUAAAGAAAUUGGUAACAGAAAAGAAGAAGCCUCCUGUUACGUCAAGUUUGCUGCAGUGUAUCAAUCAGUUGGCGAAUAUUACAAGGCUAUAAAACAUCUUGAGACUUCACUUGCUAUCAACAAAGAAAUUGGGGACAGAAUAGGAGAAUGCGAGUGCUAUGGAAACCUUGGAACUGUGUAUGAAUCAGUUGGCAAAUAUGACGAGGCUAGAGAAUAUCUUGAGAAAUCACUUGCGAUCUUCAAAGAGAUCGGUGACAGGAGAGGGGAAGCCUCCUGUUACGGAAUGCUUGGAGCAGUAUAUCAGUCAGUUGGUGAAUAUGAGAAAGCUGAAAUUUUUUUCAAGAAACUAUUGGCGAUUACGAGAAAAAUUUGCGACAGACCUGGAGAAGCUUUUUCUUGCCAACGACUUGGAGCUUUCUAUUUUUCUGUUGGUAAAUAUGAUGAGGCUAAUCAAUAUAAUCAAGAAGGAUUUGUCAUUACAAGAGAAAUUGGAGCCAGACGAGAGGAAGCCUUUCUCCACGGCGUCCAAGGAGCUGUCUUUUCAUCAAUUGGUGACUUUAUCAAGGAUGAAGAACAUCUCAAGGCAGCACUUGCAAUCAGUAAAGAAAUUGGAGACCGAAGUGGAGAAGCACAACUUUGUUUAGACUUAGGAAAUGUGCUAUUGAAACAUGGUGAGUGUGCUCGGGCUGAAGAAUAUAUUAAGAAUGCGCUUGCAAUAAGUGAGAAUAUUGGACAUGUUAAGACCCAGUUUCGAUCGCUGCAGUCUCUGGCAUACGUACGAAUGCAAGCAAGAAAGAUCCAGGAGUCUAUUACGUACUUCCUUGCCGGUAUUGAAAAAUGCGAGGAAAUGCGGGGCUCCCUACGAGACAACGAUGAAUUCAAAUUAUCGUUUUCGGAUCGCUAUAUCUGUUCCUACCAGGAUCUCUGCUCAUUGCUUUGUGAAACCGGAAAUUCCAAUGCAGCUUUGUAUGUUUCAGAGCUGAAGAAGGCCAGGGCUUUAGCAGAUUUGAUGUCAGUUCAGUACUCUGUCAAGAAUCAAGUCACCGCUAAUCCGAAAACAUGGGCUGAUAUUGAAAGCAUCAUGGACAAAGAACGUAAUUCUUCUUGUCUAUAUCUCUGUUAUUCUCGGGACAGCAUAUACUUCUGGGUUCUUAAAGCAAGCCGAAUCAAGCAUUUCCGAACGAUCAAAGGAAAUGAAAUUAUUGCUCAAGAAGGAUUUUGUCAAACUUUGGAUGACUUAUUUGCAAGCGAAAGUUUUAGAAGUUUUGGCAUUGUACCAGAAGCACUAUGCGAAGACCGAUCUUUAGAUGUCAUACAAGAGAAAUGCAAUUCAUGCGAGGAUGAAAACCAUGAAGCUUUGCGAAUUGGAAAUGAAAGUAAAAAUAACAAAGGACCCAAAAUGAAUCUUCCUUUGUGUUACAAACUAAUCUUCGCCCCUGUGGCCGACUUGCUCGAGGGCCCUGAAAUCAUCAUUGUUCCUGAUCGUUCUUUAUACAACAUUCCAUUUGUCGCGUUACCUAAUGAAAGCGGAAAGGUCUUAUCUGAGACUUUCAAGAUCCGCGUCGCUCCUUCUUUAACAACUCUCAGGCUCAUCCAUGACAGUCCAGCAGAAUAUCACAGUCAGACCGGUGUACUGAUAGUCGGAAAUCCUGAAGUUGGCAAGGUUCUUUUCAAAGGAUGUCUCACGGUCAUUUCGCGUUUGCCUUAUGCAGAAGAGGAAGCGAAGAUGGUAGGAAAAAAGCUGGGUGUAGAACCCUUGCUAGGAAAGCAGGCCACUAAGCAGGCAGUACUUCAAGCGAUGAAUUCAGUGGGUCUGAUACACUUUGCUGCUCACGGUGAUGCAGAGAGAGGCGAAAUUGCUCUUGCACCGUCAUUUCCCAAGAAGAAACCUCGAGAAGAAGACUACUUAUUGACAAUGUCCGACAUUUCUAAAGUUCAUCUUCGAGCUAAACUCGUAGUCCUAAGCUGCUGCCACAGUGCACGAGGUCGGAUUAAAGCCGAGGGAGCAGUCGGAAUUGCUCGAGCAUUUUUAGGCUCUGGUGCACGUUCAGUGUUGGUGUCACUGUGGGCCAUAGAAGACAGCGCAACAGAGCAGUUAAUGAGUCAUUUCUACGAUCACCUUGUUCGCGGGGAAAGCGCUAGUUACUGUCUUCACCAGGCCAUGGAAUGGAUGAGAUGUAACGGCUACUGUGACGUGAAGCAGUGGGCGCCUUUUGUACUGAUUGGAGAUAACGUGACAUUUGAUUUUGGAAAGUAAGCGAAAUCUAAGAUGGCGGAUCCAAGAAGAUGAGUCAAAUGAGGUCAUUUAGCAUCAUAUGAAGUCGUAAACAACAAGAAUGGUAUCAUCUGGUAGAGCAAGCUCAUGGCCAUCUAAUCAAUCUGUUUUUCGUGGACAGACUGAUCAUCAGAGACAAGAGAAAAGGGUAAAAAAGCAAACCUUCAAGUGACAGAGCCAGUGCUGUGUUGUAAAAAGUAACAUAACUCGACAAUAAUAUAGACAAGGAACUCAGUUUCGAUAAUGAUAUAGCUACUAUCUGCAAGAAGAUGAACAAUCAGUUCAAUGUUAUGUUAAGACUGCAUAAACUUCCCUAAACUUAUUUCCGGUAAAACUAUGUUGAAACUCUACAAGACCGUCAUCUUACCACAAUUUUACCACUGCUUUAGAUUUUGGCAUUACUGCAACCACGUAAUACUGAAAAGUUAAAGGCUCUGAAUAAACGCAUACUUAGGUUUAUCCUUAGUUAUUACAGCUCCUCUUAUGACCAGUUCCUUGAAAAAGUUAACCUCACUUCGUUAAGUGACAGACGUUUCCACAAUAUGCUGAUUUUACUAUAUAAAAGACUGUUUAUGUCAGAUUAUCAGAAUUACAUGAGAUACAUGUUUCUCUUCGCUCUGUAAACUACAAACUACGGG